UACGUAAGGGGCAAGCGUUGUCCGGAAUCACUGGGCGUAAAGCGCACGUAGGCGGUGCAGCAAGUCAGGGGUGCAAGCUCCAGGCCUAACCUGGAAACUGCCUCUGAAACUACUGUGCUUGAGGGUCAGAGGGGAAACUGGAAUUCACGGUGUGAGCGGUGAAAUGCGUAGAUAUCGUGGAGAACACCCGUGGCGAAGGCGGGUUCUGGCUGACAACUGACGCUGAGGCGCGAAGCUAGGGGAGCGAACGG
rnacentral:rRNA from 1 species